rnacentral:lncRNA from 1 species
AUGGACCCACCCUGUAAAUUAUUCAAGCACAAUGAUGGUACCUCCGCUAGGGCUAAAUGGUUCGACUUUGAAGCUUUUAACCAGGCGGCUGCGCAAUUAGUAAGCAAUUGUCAAGUUUUGCAUGCAACACUUAGUAGUCUCGCUACAACCCGCAGUGAUGUGUCUAAUGAGCGUCCUCGUCCAACUCAUUCUGAACCUAUUGGUGAUGAUGUAGCCGAAACACAGACGGAGUUUCCUGUAACCCCAAAUGUUACUGUUGUUACUCAGGAUACCGAUGAAUGUCUUAUUACUGAGUCUUCUUUCACCCCUGAACAGGGGGGUGUACCCAGAGCACAUGCUUAUCAGGGGGCUGAUGCUACUGUAUCUGUUGCUGUUGCUGUUGCUGACGCAUCACCACACAGCCCCUCAAACAAUGGAAAUUCCUCAAGUGUUAACCAUACACAAACACAUGCUGCAGUAGUUGAGCCCAUUGUUCAGUCUGGGUCUGGCAGUCACAGCCAGCUUAGCAUCAGAGAGAUACCUAAUUUCAACGCACGAGAGUUGCGCGAGCGCCUUGAUUUUAGGGACAUAAGUCUUGAUGAUCCAGAACAAGUGCCAGAAAGAGUUAGAAGCUGCCUAGCUAAUGUGAUAGAUAGAGCAGUGGCUGGAUCUCAGCAGGGUUGUGUUCUAAAUGUGGUCCUCCGUGGACCCUCGCUGGCUUCUGAUGUUCAAGCUGUUUUAAAUCCUGAUGAUCAGUAUGACCCUGACCUGUUUCUCGACCAAAUAGCACAAGUUAUGCAAAGUAACGACGAAUCUAUCGGUGAUGAUGAAUUAGAGUUUAUUGUCACAGUUGCACAAAACAGUAGCGGUGGCGGGGCUCGCUUAAAACUGGCAAACAUCCCUUAUGAUGAGAUUCUCUCAAAGAAGGGUAAACAUCUGUAUACACCAAACAAUACGCACAACAAUUUGUGCUUCUCCCUUUGCAUAGCACAUUCAUUAAACCCAACAGCCCCAGAGCAUGAAAAAUAUGCUACUGCUAAACAGUUACAUGCUCAAGUAGGUCUAUGCGACACACAGACAGUAUCAUUCUCUGAUGUCUGCAAAUUUGAGAAACACCUAAACAUUAAGAUAGUAACCUAUUAUCACGCAGCAGGGCGUAAACGUCUGCAUACUUUUUUCACACAUGAUGAGCCAAAUCCAAACACUGUAAUGCUGUACCUACACAAUGAACACUAUCACCUGAUUGAAAAGCCCACCGCUUUUCUAGGGUCAGCCUAUGUGUGUAAUUUUUGUUACAAUACAUAUGAAAGACCGCUCUAUCACAGCUGUAAACAUAGAUGCAACGUAUGUUUCACACUCUGUCAACACCACAGAGGUCCAGCCAUGAAAUGCAGUGACUGUAACCGCAUCUGCAAAUCACAACACUGUUACCAACAACACAAAUUACCAGAAAUAAAACACAACAUGGUCCCGUGUGACAAUAUGAAGCGCUGCUUGAGUUGCGGUGUCACAUUUAAAGAAUCAAAGAAAUCACCACACAGAUGUGUCCAGCCUAAAUGCGAGCACUGCCGCGAGCCUAAAUUAGCCGGGGACUCUGAGCAUCAGUGUUUUAUACAGCCUGUUGAACAACAGGAGCCUUGUGAUAAAUAUAUUUUAUAUGAUUCUGAGACACGGUAUCACAACGGAAAACAUGAGGCCAACUUUGUGUGUGCGUCUGAUCUGAAGGGCAACAAGUUCUCAUUUAAUACAUUAAAAUGUGUGGCUGCGUUUGUGCAGCAUUACAGACGCCCGAGGUUUCGUGGGUACACAUUCAUAGCCCACAACGCCUCCGGCUUCGAUAAUUACAUAGUUUUGGAGUACAUGGUCAAGCAAUGUAUAACACCUACCGUCACAAUGAGAGGGAGCCGUGUGAUUUUGAUGCAUGACAGGGAGUAUGACCAACGGUGGAUUGAUUCGUUCAGCUUUUUGCCCAUGGGUCUUGCCAAAAUACCCUCUGCUUUAGGUUUUCAAGACCUGCAGAAGGGCCAUUUCCCACACAGGUUCAACACUAGGGAUAAUGAGUAUUAUGUUGGUCCAUACCCGGAACCCUCCUUCUACGGCUAUGAGCGCAUGUCUGAAAGUGGUAAGGCGAGCUUCAUGGAAUGGUACCAGACUGCAUCACAGAACACCUUUGAUUUUCAGGCUGAACUCAGGCGCUACUGUGUUAACGAUGUUGAUGUCCUGCGUAAAGCAUGUACCAUAUAUCGUGACACUCUGUUGGGUUGUACACAAGUUGAUCCAUUCAUGCACACAACCCUGGCUGCAUUCAGUAUGGGUGUGUAUAAAACACUGUUUCUGCCUAGAGACACACUCGCUCUCACGUAUGACGGUGCAUAUAUUGAGCAGAAUAAGAUGUUUUCAAACGUCUCUAUUGAAUGGCUUCAAUAUGUGUCCCACACCACCACCAACACAGUGAUAAAACACGCUCUCAGAGGAGGCGAACAAAGGGUUGGGCCAUAUUUUCUGGACGGCUUUGACCCCGCUACUAACACAGCUUACGAAUUUGCAGGAUGUUUUCACCACGGAUGUGUUAAAUGCUACCCCGAGAGUGAAGUAAAUCCUGUCAGCAAAGCGUCCUACGGACGGCUGCAUCGUAUGUUUUGUGACAAAGUGGAUGCGCUGAAAUCACAAUACAGUUUGAGCGUUGUUGUGAUGUGGGAGUGUGAAUGGGCUGCCUUGAAGCAGACAGACUCUGCAGUUGUGGCUUUCAUGCAUACAUACAGAAAGCCAGAACGCCUGAACCCCCGAGACGCCCUUUUUGGCGGUCGCACAAAUGCUAUAAAGCUGUACCACAAGGUUGCGUGUGAUGAAAAAAUAUUUUACUACGACUUCACCAGUCUCUAUCCCACGGUGCAAUCUAAAAAAGAUUAUCCUGUAGGACAUCCUCAAAUCAUUUACAGCAACUUUGACAAGCUAGAAAAUUAUUUCGGCUUUGUUAAAUGCACAGUACUGCCACCAAGAGGGCUUUUUCACCCCGUCCUUCCCUACAGGUGCCACGGCAAACUGAUGUUUCCACUCUGCAGCAUGUGCGCUGAAGACCAGAACCAGCACACUGCAUGCGGGCACAGUGACAGUGAACGGGUGUUGAAAGGCACAUGGGUCUCAUUUGAGCUUGAAAAAGCUGUUGAGAAAGGAUACAAGCUUGUUUCUAUUGAUGAGGUGUGGCAUUUCCCCAACAAGACCGACACAUUGUUUAAAGACUAUGUGAAAACCUUCCUAAAACUUAAACAGGAAGCCUCGGGGUAUCCAGAACAUGUGAAAACCCCUGAAGAACAGCAAAAGUACAUAGCCGAGUAUUAUGAAAAGGAGGGAAUAAUGCUGGAUCCGUCCAAAAUAUGUGUAAAUAAAGCUGUUCGAAACUGCAACAAGCUGCUGCUAAACUCAUUAUGGGGUCGUUUCAGUAUGAGGUCAAACAUGGUGUCGUCUGAGCUCAUCACAGACCCGUCCAGGUUUAGUCAGCUAAUGUUCAGCGAUCAGUACGACGUGUGGCAGUUUUGUUUCAUCUCUGACGACGUCGCCAUGGUGCAAUGGCGCCACACCGAUGGUAGAGCAUCCCGCGUUAAGGACGUUAAUGUCUUUGUGGGUGCCAUGACCACUGCACACGCCAGACUCAUGUUGUAUGACUUGUUAGACAACUUGCAACAGCGCGUGCUGUAUUGUGAUACAGACAGCGUCAUUUUCACAGCACGCCCUGGCGACUGGAUGCCUCCUCUAGGCCCUUUUCUGGGUGAUCUCACCAGUGAAUUAGCUUCUGGAGAGGGUGGUGUGGAGGAUCACAUAGUAGAAUUUGUUUCCGGUGGGCCAAAAUGCUACGCGUAUCACACAUCGCUGGGCAAAACACAGGUCAAAUGUAAAGGUGUAACACUGAACGCACAAAACACCAAAGUUGUCACCCACGAAUCCUUGAAAGGUUUAGUCCACAAGUUUGUAUCCAAUCAGGUUUCAGAUGCACACCUAGUGGCUGUGUCUGAUAAUAUCAAACGCGAUAAAAAGAAGCUUCAUUUGAAGAAUGUAUCCGUUGUGAAGAAGCUUAAAGUUGUCUACAACAAGCGCCGUGUGCUCCCAGACUACACAACCCUGCCUUAUGGAUUUUAA